UACGAAGGGAGCUAGCGUUGCUCGGAUUGACUGGGCGUAAAGGGCGCGUAGGCGGCCUUCUAAGUCGAACGUGAAAUCCCCGGGCUCAACCCGGGAACUGCGUCCGAUACUGGAAGGCUUGAAUCCGGGAGAGGGAUGCGGAAUUCCAGGUGUAGCGGUGAAAUGCGUAGAUAUCUGGAGGAACACCGGUGGCGAAGGCGGCAUCCUGGACCGGUAUUGACGCUGAGGCGCGAAAGCCAGGGGAGCAAACGGG
rnacentral:rRNA from 1 species